rnacentral:sRNA from 1 species
GAGACAAAAUUGACUUUUGUGGGACAAAACUGACUUUUGUGAGACAAAUUUCACUUUUGUGAGACAAAAUUGUCAAAAUUGAAUUUUGUCUCACAAAAGUCAAUUUUGUCUCACAAAAGUCAAUUUUGUCUCACAAAAGUA